UACAGAGGUCUCAAGCGUUGUUCGGAUUCAUUGGCGUAAAGGGUGCGUAGGCGGCGCGGUAAGUCGGGUGUGAAAUUUCGGAGCUUAACUCCGAAACUGCAUUCGAUACUGCCGUGCUUGAGGACUGGAGAGGAGACUGGAAUUACGGUGUAGCGGUGAAAUGCGUAGAUAUCGUAAGGAAGACCAGUGGCGAAGGCGGGUCUCCUGGACAGUUCCUGACGCUGAGGCACGAAGGUCAGGGAGCAAACGGG
rnacentral:rRNA from 1 species